UUCUCAAAAUCGCAAAAUUACCCUUCUCACAAACCCUAUCUCCUCCUCCUUUCCCCAUCCCGUAGCCACCAUCCUCCACCCCACUACUCUCUCCGGCCGGCACGCCACCGCCUUCCAGCCCGCCCCUCGUUUCCUCUGGCCGGCGGGCCACCCCACUCCCACUCCGCCCAUAGGCUUGACUCGCCAUUGGAGAGCACGGACGAGGCCAGCGCGUCUCCAGCGGGUAGACGAGGCGGCGCGCUCCCUGUCCUUGUAGCAGGGUGAGCUGGCGCCCUACGCCGCCCCCACUCCCUCUGCUCGGCCGUCCAGACGCAGGAGCUGUCCAUCCCUCGUCGGUCCCCCUCUUCUACCACCGGCUGGUUCUUUCCAACAGCACAUCCUAGCUGCUGCUUCAUACAUGGCGAACGUGGAAGAAUCUCAUCAAAGAGAUGAAGCUACAAGGAGCUCCUGGUGUGAAGAGGCAAUUUUCUGCUCAUAGUCUCAGCCACACUCUGCUGUUCUUACGCUCUUGAUCUGGUCUGCCGUCGUCCCUCCCCCUCCCUCAACAUCCUCUGUGUCGGUCCAGUCCUCGCCGGGCCGUCAGCCCUGCAACCAGCACCGUCCUGCCAUCUGUUGCACUACUCCUCCUCCUCAUAUCCCUCCCCUCCCACCGCUCUCUUCCACUCCGUCCUGAGCGCAUAGCCCCGGCUCACCAGACCAUGCUUCUGCGGCACGGUGCACCUCUCUGCGCGCCACGACCGCCAGCAGGAGGCCUCUGCGCUGGAGGUGGCCGCCAUGGCUCCACGCUGGCGCGACCCAAUGUCCUUCGCCAGACCUGCUUCUUGUGGGCUGCAAAGACGAGCGGAGGAGCAAUCAGGAUCAUGUUGUUGCUCUUCAAUAUGUGCCUUCCGAGUUACAGCUAGCGGACUUCUUCACGAAGGCACAGACUAGAGCACAACAUAGAUUUCACCUCCCCAAACUCAGUGUUGUCGAGCCACCAUGAGUUUGAGGGCGGGGGGGGGGGGGGGGGGGGGGGGUGUUUAGAGUUAUAUUGAUGAUGGCCUUUGGCCUUUUGUAUUCUUGCCUUUUGGAUCCUCAUGUACAUUAUAUAUAUAUGGUGGCUUUGGCCUCCUAGUAAUACAAGUUGCAUAUUUCCUGACAGCGUGAACACUCCGUUGGCACCUUUUUGACAUAUAUUGCCUUCCUGGUUCUCUCAAGUCACCAAUGUGGCAGUGUCAUGUCUAUGAUAGGCGAUUUUAUGCUCACAUAGUGUGUUAGAGAAAGUUAAGUCACCUUGUUUGGUUUCUUAUCUGCUUAUAAACUUGGAACUUUAUUGAUAUAAAACUAGGAAAGAUGACAUCUGCUUUGCUUGUAUUUCCUUGUCUUCUGUUGUCUAUCGACCAUUCCUGCCAUCUCACUUCUGGGGAUGCACUACUGGAUUCGACCCACCAUGUAUGUGCAUUUCCUCUAUCAGUGUUGGCCCCUUUGCGAAACUUCUGGUACAUCUGCACUGGAAGUUUGUUCCAUGCCACGCGCAUUAACAAUCUAAUGUUAUGUUCUACUCCCUCCGUUCCUAAAUAUAAGUCUUUUUAGACAUUUCAAAUGGACUACAACAUACGGAUGUAUUUAGACAUAUUUUAGAGUGUAGAUUCACUCACUUUGCUCCGUAUGUAGUCACUUGUUGGAAUCUCUAAAAAGACUUAUAUUUAGGAACGGAGGGAGUAUAACAAAUCUAUUUAAGACAUCGUCGCCUUAAAACACUGUAAUACUGUAACUUUACCACAAAAUGUCAAAUAUGAACUUUUGCUGCCCAGUCACAGACACGAGUUACUUCAAAAGCUACAAAAAUCAGCAAGACGGAAGUGAUAUUUUGGUUGGUAAUAUUUUUGUAACAACCAUAUCUUCUUAUUUGUACACAUAUUUUACAGCCAUCAUAUUCUUAGCUACGGAUGGGACAUGCUCUUUUUUUGGUGUUUGAAAAUGAAAAUAGCAACUAAAUAUUUCUUUAGUCUCAAAUCUCUAUAAAUCUUGGUUGCUAAAACUCAAUAGUGAUCAGUCAUUGGGACUUCAGUUUCAUUAGUCUAAUGCUUGAAUAUUGAGGUUCGUCGCAGCUUAGAUCACAUGGCAGUGACAACCCACAGUUAUCAACUAAUGAUUUUAAACUUAUAAUGUCUUCUCCCACUUUGUUUUAUGUUAGUGAUAUUGACACGCUGUGUUGUAUACUGGGUUGUAUGGAGGCAAGAGAGAAGAACGAUUCUUAGUCUUGCUUGUUUUUAUUCCUCGUAGGGGGUCCUCUGUAUAUAGAAGACCUAAAAAUCCAAUGUAAGUAACACAUCAUCGAUCUUAUUUCUACUUGCUUGAGGACCAAGCUAAAAGAUUUCUUCCUAAUUUAAAAGAUAGACUAUCUAACGUAGAGAUUGGAGAACUCAUCCCUUGAAAUCGGAGUUGGGGCACAAGGAGGGGCUGGGGGUCCGACGGGUGUGACAAAGUUUAAUUAAACCAUUUUAUAUCAUGAAAAUGAAAACGAUGGUAGUACCAAUUUUUCGUAUGGAAGCAUAUGGGAAUAUCUGCAGAAUUAGAUACAAGAGUACAAGAUUGUAUCAUAAGUCUUUGAGAUUUUGAGUACCCUGCCUUUGUGAAGCUUGGGAACCAUGAUUUGAUAUAUCUACUC